AUGGCCUAGAAAGGAACGACCGGACUUAGAACGGGGUCGGAGGCCUCGAAAGUUCACAUCUAACCACUGGGUGGUCCGAUUCUGAGUGAUCUCGAAGUUUCUUGCCCACAGAAGCCGAACGGCGAUGCCCCAGACUCGGUUUCCUGGUUCCGUCCCAAAACGCCGAAGAAAGGCACAAUGGCCUAGAAAGGAACGACCGGACUUAGAACGGGGUCGGAGGCCUCGAAAGUUCACAUCUAACCACUGGGUGGUCCGAUUCUGAGUGAUCUCGAAGUUUCUUGCCCACAGAAGCCGAACGGCGAUGCCCCGGGCUGAUGUUAGAUGUAUCCUACAUGACCGAAAAUGAUAAAAUCUUCAGCUUUGUUGAAGGGUUAAAGCCGUGGGUAAGGGCUAAAUUAUACGAAUAGAAAGUUCAGGACCUCGCGUCAACCUAUGCAAUAGCGGAGCGUUUGUUCGAUCUGUCUGAUGACACUCAAGAGACGAGACGUCGUCAAAGCUCUUCAAUCGACCGAUUUUUCGUUGGCUAAAGCCUUGGCCAUUUUUGGACCGUUUUUGGCGCUACCGUUGUGCACCAC
rnacentral:lncRNA from 1 species